GACGAACGCUGGCGGCGUGCCUAAUACAUGCAAGUAGAACGCUGAAGAGAGGAGCUUGCUCUUCUUGGAUGAGUUGCGAACGGGUGAGUAACGCGUAGGUAACCUGCCUUGUAGCGGGGGAUAACUAUUGGAAACGAUAGCUAAUACCGCAUAACAAUGGAUGACACAUGUCAUUUAUUUGAAAGGGGCAAUUGCUCCACUACAAGAUGGACCUGCGUUGUAUUAGCUAGUAGGUGAGGUAACGGCUCACCUAGGCGACGAUACAUAGCCGACCUGAGAGGGUGAUCGGCCACACUGGGACUGAGACACGGCCCAGACUCCUACGGGAGGCAGCAGUAGGGAAUCUUCGGCAAUGGGGGCAACCCUGACCGAGCAACGCCGCGUGAGUGAAGAAGGUUUUCGGAUCGUAAAGCUCUGUUGUAAGUCAAGAACGAGUGUGAGAGUGGAAAAUUCACACUGUGACGGUAGCUUACCAGAAAGGGACGGCUAACUACGUGCCAGCAGCCGCGGUAAUACGUAGGUCCCGAGCGUUGUCCGGAUUUAUUGGGCGUAAAGCGAGCGCAGGCGGUUUGAUAAGUCUGAAGUUAAAGGCUGUGGCUCAACCAUAGUUCGCUUUGGAAACUGUCAAACUUGAGUGCAGAGGGGGAGAGUGGAAUUCCAUGUGUAGCGGUGAAAUGCGUAGAUAUAUGGAGGAACACCGGUGGCGAAAGCGGCUCUCUGGUCUGUAACUGACGCUGAGGCUCGAAGGCGUGGGGAGCGAACAGGAUUAGAUACCCUGGUAGUCCACGCCGUAAACGAUGAGUGCUAGGUGUUGGAUCCUUUCCGGGAUUCAGUGCCGCAGCUAACGCAUUAAGCACUCCGCCUGGGGAGUACGACCGCAAGGUUGAAACUCAAAGGAAUUGACGGGGGCCCGCACAAGCGGUGGAGCAUGUGGUUUAAUUCGAAGCAACGCGAAGAACCUUACCAGGUCUUGACAUCCCGAUGCUAUUUCUAGAGAUAGAAAGUUACUUCGGUACAUCGGUGACAGGUGGUGCAUGGUUGUCGUCAGCUCGUGUCGUGAGAUGUUGGGUUAAGUCCCGCAACGAGCGCAACCCCUAUUGUUAGUUGCCAUCAUUCAGUUGGGCACUCUAGCGAGACUGCCGGUAAUAAACCGGAGGAAGGUGGGGAUGACGUCAAAUCAUCAUGCCCCUUAUGACCUGGGCUACACACGUGCUACAAUGGUUGGUACAACGAGUUGCGAGUCGGUGACGGCAAGCUAAUCUCUUAAAGCCAAUCUCAGUUCGGAUUGUAGGCUGCAACUCGCCUACAUGAAGUCGGAAUCGCUAGUAAUCGCGGAUCAGCACGCCGCGGUGAAUACGUUCCCGGGCCU
rnacentral:rRNA from 1 species